GUCUAUGGCCAUGCCACCCGGAACGUGUCCAAUCUUGUCUGAUCUCGGAAGCUAAUCAGGGUUGGGCCUGGUUAGUACUUGGACAGGCGACCACCUAGGAAUACCAGGUGUUGUAGGCG
rnacentral:rRNA from 1 species